AAAGGUGUUUAUGUACAGCAAGAACUGAUGAACUCAGGGCUGAAGAGCAUUUUGUUCUCUGUGGCAGCUCUAUCCCUUUCCUUAGGGGAGAUCUAUGUUAGAAACAAAAAUGUCAUAGGGGAAGGUUGUGAAUUCUAAAUGAACUGUGGGGACCUCACGAACCUCUUCAGCUUAGUGGUUUCCAGGAAGCCCCAGGCUGAGCCAAACUUUGUGACUUAGCUGGUGU
rnacentral:lncRNA from 1 species